UACGAAGGGGGCUAGCGUUGCUCGGAAUUACUGGGCGUAAAGGGCGCGUAGGCGGAUAGUUUAGUCAGAGGUGAAAGCCCAGGGCUCAACCUUGGAACUGCCUUUGAUACUGGCUAUCUUGAGUUCGGGAGAGGUGAGUGGAAUGCCGAGUGUAGAGGUGAAAUUCGUAGAUAUUCGGCGGAACACCGGUGGCGAAGGCGACUCACUGGCCCGAUACUGACGCUGAGGCGCGAAAGCGUGGGGAGCAAACAGG
rnacentral:rRNA from 1 species